UGGGGAAUAUUGGACAAUGGGCGCAAGCCUGAUCCAGCAAUGCCGCGUGUGUGAAGAAGGCCUUCGGGUUGUAAAGCACUUUUAUCAGGAGCGAAACGCUGUCGGCUAAUACCCGGCGGAACUGACGGUACCUGAGGAAUAAGCACCGGCUAACUUCGUGCCAGCAGCCGCGGUAAUACGAAGGGUGCAAGCGUUAAUCGGAAUUACUGGGCGUAAAGCGUGCGUAGGCGGUUUCUUAAGUCUGCUGUGAAAUCCCCGGGCUCAACCUGGGAAUGGCAGUGGAUACUGGGAGGCUAGAGUGUGUCAGAGGGUGGUGGAAUUCCCGGUGUAGCGGUGAAAUGCGUAGAGAUCGGGAGGAACAUCAGUGGCGAAGGCGGCCACCUGGGACAACACUGACGCUGAGGCACGAAAAGCGUGGGGAGCAAACAGGAUUAGAUACCCUGGUAGUCCACGCCCUAAAACGAUGCGAACUGGAUGUUGGUCUCAACUCGGAGAUCAGUGUCGAAGCUAACGCGUUAAGUUCGCCGCCUGGGGAGUACGGUCGCAAGACUGAAACUCAAAGGAAUUGAC
rnacentral:rRNA from 1 species